rnacentral:lncRNA from 1 species
GUGGAAAGUGGCGGAGCUGUUGGACCUCAGUAGUGAGUUGGGGGUGGGGGAGAAGCAUAAGUGUAGACUGGUGGAGGAGGUGAUUUUUCGGGUGGGGGAGGUGAGAUGUAGUGGUAUGGAGGAGGUGGAGAUGGUGAAGGGGGAGGAGGGGAUGUGUAGACAUAGGGUGGUGGGGGUGAUUUCUCCGGCGGUGGUGGGGACUUGUAGUAGUAAGGUGGUGGAGGAGAUGGCGAUGGUGGUGGUGGGGACUUGUAGUAGUAAGGAGGGAGUGGUGAUGGAGAUGGUGGUGGGGGAGAUUUGUAGUAGUAGGGAUGAGGGGAUGGAGAUGGUGGUGGGGGAGAUUUGUAGUAGUAGGGAUGAGGGGAUGGAGAUGGUGGUGGGGGAGAUUUGUAGUAGUAGGGAUGAGGGGAUGGAGAUGGUGGUGGUGGGGAGACGUAAUGAUAAGGUGGUGGUGGAGAUUUCUCCGGCGGUGGUGGGGAGAUGUACUGAUAAGGUGGUGGUGGGGAUUUCUCCGGAGGUGGUGGGGAGAUGUAGUGAUAAGGUGGUGGUGGGGAUUUUUCCGGUGGUGGUGGGGAGAUGUACUGAUAAGGUGGUGGUGGAGAUUUUUCCGGUGGUGGUGGGGAGAUGUACUGAUAAGGUGGUGGUGGAGAUUUUUCCGGUGGUGGUGGGGAGACGUAAUAAUACGGCUUUGGUGGAGGUUUCACCGGUGGUGGCGGUGACUUGUAUAGGUAAGUUGGUGGUGGAGGUGGUGGUGAUUUAUAGACAUAAGUUGGUGGUGGUGGGGAGACGUAAUAAUACGGCUUUGGUGGAGGUUUCACUGGUGGUGGCGGUGACUUGUAUAGGUAAGUUGGUGGUGGAGGUGGUGGUGAUUUAUAGACAUAAGUUGGUGGUGGUGGGGAGACGUAAUAAUACGGCUUUGGCGGAGGUUUCACCGGUGGUGGCGGUGACUUGUAUAGGUAAGUUGGUGGUGGAGGUGGUGGUGAUUUAUAGACAUAAGUUGGUGGUGGUGGGGAGACGUAAUAAUACGGCUUUGGUGGAGGUUUCACCGGUGGUGGCGGUGACUUGUAUAGGUAAGUUGGUGGUGGAGGUGGUGGUGAUUUAUAGACAUAAGUUGGUGGCGGAGGAGAUAUGUAGUGGUAAGGAGCAGGAGUUGGCUUGGGCUUCUCACAUUCCUCAUAAGGAGUCUUGGGAGCAUAAGCAAAUGGUUUUGCGUAGAGCACGACUUCAUAGUCAGUCUUGGACUUGACUCUGAGUUCAG